CCUACGGGUGGCAGCAGUAGGGAAUCUUUCACAAUGGGCGAAAGCCUGAUGGAGCAACGCCGCGUGCAGGAUGAAGGCCUUCGGGUUGUAAACUGCUUUUAUAAGCGAGAAAUAUGAUGGUAACUUAUGAAUAAGGAUCGGCUAACUCCGUUCCAGCAGCCGCGGUCAUACGUAGGAUCCGAGCAUUAUCCGGAGUGACUGGGUGUAAAGAGUUGCGUAGGUGGCAUAAUAAGUAGCUAGUGAAAUCUGGUGGCUCAACCAUUCAGACUAUUAGCUAAACUGUUAAGCUCGAGACCGUUAGGGGUAACUGGAAUGUCUAGUGUAGGAGUGAAAUCCGUAGAUAUUAGAAGGAACACCAAUAGCGUAGGCAGGUUGCUGGGACGGUUCUGACACUAAGGCACGAAAGCGUAGGGAGCAAACGGGAUUAGAUACCCUAGUAGUC
rnacentral:rRNA from 1 species